rnacentral:rRNA from 1 species
UAGGGUGCGAGCGUUAAUCGGAAUUACUGGGCGUAAAGCGUGCGCAGGCGGUUUUGUAAGUCGGAUGUGAAAUCCCCGGGCUCAACCUGGGAACUGCGUUCGAAACUGCAAGGCUAGAGUGUGUCAGAGGGGGGUAGAAUUCCACGUGUAGCAGUGAAAUGCGUAGAGAUGUGGAGGAAUACCAAUGGCGAAGGCAGCCCCCUGGGAUAACACUGACGCUCAUGCACGAAAGCGUGGGGAGCAAACAGGAUUAGAUACCCUGGUAGUCCACGCCCUAAACGAUGUCAACUAGUUGUUGGUAGAGUAAAAUCUAUGAGUAACGUAGCUAACGCGUGAAGUUGACCGCCUGGGGAGUACGGUCGCAAGA